UACGAAGGGGGCUAGCGUCGUUCGGAAUUACUGGGCGUAAAGCGCGCGCAGGCGGUCCUUCAAGUCAGAGGUGAAAGCCCAGAGCUCAACUCUGGAAUGGCCUUUGAAACUGGAGGACUUGAGUACGGGAGAGGUGAGUGGAAUUCCGAGUGUAGAGGUGAAAUUCGUAGAUAUUCGGAAGAACACCAGUGGCGAAGGCGGCUCACUGGCCCGUUACUGACGCUCAGGCGCGACAGCGUGGGGAGCAAACAGG
rnacentral:rRNA from 1 species